ACACAAAUUGUGACCAUGGAGGUGGGGCAAGGCUGCUAGGAAGAACAGGGAGUGUCUGAGGUAGUGAUUCUCCUACCUCAGCCUCCCAAGUAGCUGGCAUUACAGGUGUGUGCCACCACAUGCAGCUAAUUUUUGUAUUUUUUUUCAGUAGAGAUGGAUUUUACCAUGUUGGCCAGGCUGAUCUCUUGAACUCCUGAGCUCAGGUGAUCUGCCCACCUCAGCCUGCCAGAGUGCUGGGAUUAUAGGCAUAAGCCACUGCGCCCAGCCUAAUUUUAAAUUUUUUAACUUUUUUUUUUUUUAGACAUAAUUUUGCUCUUGUCACCCAGGCUGAAGUGCAGUGGCACUCGGCUCAGUGCAACCUCUGCCUCCCAAAUUCAAGCAAUUCUCCUGCCUCAGUCUCCACAGUAGCUGGAACUACUGCCUCCCAGAUUCAAGCAAUUCUCCUGCCUCAGUCUCCGCAGUAGCUGGAACUACAGGGGGAGGGGGCCAGGCAACCAUCUUAGGGGAGAGGAGGCCACACUCCCUGUUCUCCAGCCCAGCCCUGCUUCCUCCCAACCCCCAGAACUCAACUUUGGUGCCAUCACUCUUAACAGCAUGGAUGCCACCAGUGAGCGUGACUUCAUGGCUGAGUUCCUGUUCUAGGCUUCAUUCUGCAUGACCCAUCUCAGCAGGAUGGCCAGGGACCUCAUCCUCUGUGGCACCAAGGAAUCCAGCUUCCUGUAGCUCUCAGAUGCCUACAGGUAAGCCCUGAACUGCCACUUCCACCUGCCCCUCCCAGCCUCUGCAUUCUCCACGCCCCU
rnacentral:lncRNA from 13 species